GCCUCUAUCCAUGCUGAUGCAGAGCGGUGUAAACACUCUGGGCUCCAUAAAGGCCAGCUGUGGUCGCCCUUCCUCGGACCUGUUUCAUACAACAGUAAUAUUCGAUGUGUACAGCCUGGGAGGCCAUUAAAUACACACACAUAUACACACAAAACCACACGCACAACCACACACGAACACACUCCCGCAUCAAACACAUUUAGUGUUACACGGUUUGGAAACAUGGACACACAGACGUUAACACAUAAAUAACAGCCAGCCCAUUCUGACUCAGACCUGUAAAGCGGGCUCCCCAUGUGAAGUCAUAUUACGACUGUAUACACUUGGUAUUAUAUUUAUUAGGGGCAACACUACGGCAGUCAGCCUGGUGUUAACAGCGGUGAGUCCAUAACUCAGCACGGCCACAAACCUCCUUCCCCCACCGUAUAUCUCCCCUUUAUUUUAAUGUUACCAGCCCGGUUGUGCGUUGUGUGAUUGCGUGGAAAGUCGUGUUGUGUUUUGUUCUCUUGUGCCUUCAUGUCUGUCGCUACUCGUAGCUUAAGGCUUUAUUUAUUUAGACUCUGGGGUCACUGCUUGCCGUGGUCACACAGCGUGUGAUUACUGCCAUGGACGUUGUCCAUGUCGUCAGCGUUUAGUCGCCACUAAAAUGAUUAUUAGCAUUGUUAAAAAUGUCCCAGGCUGCAUUGGUUUGUGAUGUUAUAAUCGACCUGGGAGCAAACAUCCAUUUCAAAUGUGUGUAUAAUCUCUGAAACAAACUUAGCGGUUGUAUUUUAUUUAAUGCAUGAAGACUGAAAUAUGCUUAUGUCAUUCUCUCCCUCGCUGUCAUCUUCUUUCUCUCUUUUUAUUGUCUCUCUCUGUCUCACUCUGUGUCUCUCUCUCUGUCUCACUCUGUGUCUCUCUUUUACUCUCUCUCUGUCUCACUCUCUCUCUCGCUCUCUCUCUCUCUCUCUCUCUCUCUCUCUCUCUCUCUCUCUCUCUCUCUCUGUGUGUCUCACUCUCUCUCUCUCUCUAUGUCUCAUUCUGUCUCUCUCUCUCUCUGUCUCACUCUGUGUCUCUCUUGUUACAGUCUGUUGUCACUGAGGUGAAUCCUCAGUAAUGCGUUUCCUGUCUCACUCUCUCUCUCUGUGUCUCACUCUUCCGGUCUGUUGUCCUGAGGUAAAUGCUCAGUGAUAUGUUUCCUAUCUCACUCUCUCUGUCUCACUCUUCCUGUCUGUUGUCACUCAGGUGAAUGCUCAUCUGUGUUUUCAUGUCUCACUCUCUCUGUCUCACUCUCUUCCUGUCUGUUGUCACUCAGGUGAAUGCUCAGUCUGUGUUUCCUGUCUCACUCUCUUCCUGUCCUGUUGUCACUCAGGUGAAUGCUCAGUCUGUGUUUCCUGUCUCACUCUCUGUCUCACUCUCUUCCUGUCUGUUGUCACUCAGGUGAAUGCUCAGUCUGUGUUUCCUGUCUCACUCUCUGUCUCACUCUCUUCCUGUCUGUUGUCACUCAGGUGAAUGUCUCAGUCUGUGUUUCCUGUCUCACUCUCUGUCUCACUCUCUUCCUGUCUGUUGUCACUCAGGUGAAUGCUCAGUCUGUGUUUCCUGUCUCACUCUCUGUCUCACUCUCUUCCUGUCUGUUGUCAUCAGGUGAAUGCUCAGUCUGUGUUUCUGUCUCACUCUCUGUA